UGAGGAAUAUUGGACAAUGGGUGAAAGCCUGAUCCAGCCAUCCCGCGUGAAGGAUGACGGUCCUAUGGAUUGUAAACUUCUUUUGUAUAGGGAUAAACCUAGAUACGUGUAUCUAGCUGAAGGUACUAUACGAAUAAGCACCGGCUAACUCCGUGCCAGCAGCCGCGGUAAUACGGAGGGUGCAAGCGUUAUCCGGAUUUAUUGGGUUUAAAGGGUCCGUAGGCGGGCCGAUAAGUCAGUGGUGAAAUCU
rnacentral:rRNA from 1 species